rnacentral:rRNA from 1 species
ACACACUACGGGUGCUAACGUCCGUUGUGAAGAGGGAAACAACCCAGACCGCCAGCUAAGGUCCCAAAGUACUAGUUAAGUGGGAAACGAUGUGGAAAGGCAUAGACAGCUAGGAGGUUGGCUUAGAAGCAGCCAUCCUUUAAAGAAAGCGUAAUAGCUCACUAGUCGAGUCGGUCUGCGCGGAAGAUGUAACGGGGCUAAACUAGUCACCGAAGCUGCGGAUUUGAACUUAGGUUCAAGUGGUAGGGGAGCGUUCUGUAAGCCGUUGAAGGUGUGUUGUAAAGCAUGCUGGAGGUAUCAGAAGUGCGAAUGCUGACAUGAGUAACGAUAAGGGGAGUGAAAAACUCCCCCGCCGAAAGACCAAGGUUUCCUGUCCCAUGUUAAUCAGGGCAGGGUAAGUCGGCCCCUAAGGCGAGGCGGAAACGCGUAGUCGAUGGGAAACAGAUUAAUAUUUCUGUACUUCUAUAUAUUGCGAAGGAGGGACGGAGUAGGCUAAAUGAGCACGGCGUUGGUAGUCCGUGUGAAAGUACGUAGGUGGUUAACUUAGGUAAAUCCGGGUUUUCAUUCAACACUGAGAUACGAGACGAGAUUCUACGGAAUUGAAGUCAUUGAUGCCAUGCUUCCAGGAAAAGCUUCUAAGCUUCAGAUAUAUAGGAACCGUACCCCAAACCGACACAGGUGGUUAGGUAGAGAAUACUAAGGCGCUUGAGAGAACUCGGGUGAAGGAACUAGGCAAAAUAGUACCGUACUUCGGGAGAAGGUACGCUACUCAUGGUGAUGGAACUUGCUUCCUAAGCUAAGAGUAGUCGAAGUAACCAGGUGGCUGGAACUGUUUAUUAAAAACACAGCACUGUGCAAAAUCGAAAGAUGACGUAUACGGUGUGACGCCUGCCCGGUGCCGGAAGGUUAAUUGAUUGGGUUAGCUCUGCGAAGCUCAUGAUCGAAGCCCCGGUAAACGGCGGCCGUAACUAUAACGGUCCUAAGGUAGCGAAAUUCCUUGUCGGGUAAGUUCCGACCUGCACGAAUGGCGUAAUCAUGGCCACACUGUCUCCACCCGAGACUCAGUGAAAUUGAAUUUGCGGUUAAGAUGCCGUAUACCCGCGGCUAGACGGAAAGACCCCGUGAACCUUUACUAUAGCUUCACAGUGGACUCUGAUAUUACUUGUGUAGGAUAGCUGGGAGGCUUUGAAACUUAGGCGCUAGCUUAGGUGGAGCCAAUCUUGAAAUACCAGCCUGGUACUGUUGGGGUUCUAACUCUGGACCAUUAUCUGGUUCGAGGACAUUGUGUGGUGGGUAGUUUGACUGGGGCGGUCUCCUCCCAAAGAGUAACGGAGGAGCACGAAGGUUGGCUAAACAUGGUUGGACAUCAUGUGGUUAGUGCAAAGGCAUAAGCCAGCUUAACUGCGAGACAGACACGUCGAGCAGGUACGAAAGUAGGUCAUAGUGAUCCGGUGGUUCUGUAUGGAAGGGCCAUCGCUCAACGGAUAAAAGGUACUCCGGGGAUAACAGGCUGAUACCGCCCAAGAGUUCAUAUCGACGGCGGUGUUUGGCACCUCGAUGUCGGCUCAUCACAUCCUGGGGCUGAAGUCGGUCCCAAGGGUAUGGCUGUUCGCCAUUUAAAGUGGUACGCGAGCUGGGUUUAGAACGUCGUGAGACAGUUCGGUCCCUAUCUGCCGUGGGCGUUUGAGAAUUGAAGAGGGCUGCUCCUAGUACGAGAGGACCGGAGUGGACGAACCGCUGGUGUUCGGGUUGUUAUGCCAAUAGCAUUGCCCGGUAGCUACGUUCGGAACUGAUAACCGCUGAAAGCAUCUAAGCGGGAAGCAGGCUUUGA